rnacentral:rRNA from 1 species
GACGGGGGAUGCAAGUGUUAUCCGGAAUCACUGGGCGUAAAGCGUCUGUAGGUGGUUGCAUAAGUCAACUGUUAAAUCUUGAGGCUUAACCUCAAAAUCGCAGUCGAAACUGUUCGACUAGAGUAUAGUAGGGGUAAAGGGAAUUUCCAGUGGAGCGGUGAAAUGCGUAGAUAUUGGAAAGAACACCGAUGGCGAAGGCACUUUACUGGGCUAUUACUAACACUGAGAGACGAAAGCUAGGGUAGCAAAUGGG